rnacentral:tRNA from 1 species
AGCUUUAUAUUCAAAUAAUGAUAUAAAAUUGCAAAUUUUAAGUUAUAUUAAUUUUAAUAUUAAGGCUU